ensembl:lncRNA
CAGUGUUAGAUGAAGACAAAAGGAGGAGGAGUGUGUGUAGGAGAGAACAACACAUUCGGCAGCACAAACCCUGCCGCCGGAGUGAUUUCCUCGGAGACUCACACACUCGGCUCCAUUCACACGUAUCUAUUGUAUCAAUGUACAUCGAUGUACAGUCCCGAUGCAAAGUAAACUAACAACCUUCCGUCAGCUGUCGAGUUCAGACGGAGGAGCUGGAGUAAUCAAACGCAGUGUGAACCUAGCAAAUCAAAAGUCUUUGUUUUAAAACAUUUUAUCUCCUGUUUACACUUCACACUGUUCACACCUGCCUUUUUUUUUUUUUUUUUUUGCUGCUUUGAAAAGAAUCAAAACAAGUUUAAAUUUAUUUGGUCAAUGUAAUGUUUACUGCAUUACCCACAAUGCCAGUCACCCUAGCUUGAGCUCGAUCUAAAGAGAGCGAUGCAGCAGCGGUUUAAUCCUUGAACCUGUCCAGGUCUCUCACCUCACUCUGCUCAAACAGUGCUCAUGUCAAUACCGCCAUCAACACCAUCACGCUAGUCAUCUCGUACAUCAGUAAGGAGAUGUAACUCAGCAUCGUGUAGCUGCAUUGCAUUCUGGGACUUUGAGUCCAGUGUUUGAUCCGAUGUCUCGACUACUUCAUCUCUGGGUUUGUCACUGAUAGGACAUCGCUGGAAAAAUGAUGAGUGAGAAAAGAUGUUUUGCUUUUAGCAACGAAAUCCGGUCGAACUUGUUGGCCCAUUACAGGCAAACCAUUUGGAGUACCCAAAAUUCCUUUAAUAACUUUUGUGAGGCUUACUCUGAAGAUGUUGUGUGCCAAAUUUGGUGAUGAUUUGACAAAAUGUGUAGGAGGAGAGGCAAAAAAACAGUUUUAGACAAACUCCAAGAUGGUGGAAAAUUGGUGUCAUAAGUGCAUUGAAUUCGUCUCUGCCCAGGGAAUCCAGGGAUGCCCUGAAUUGUUUAAAAAAAAUUAUUUGUAUUUUGGACACAAGGUUUAAAAGUAAUGACCAUAGAUGUACAUCCAGGUUAGGCUCAAAUUUGACCCGAUGGUGGUGCUACAUCAUUGGCAACAAUUGGCCCAAAUGUGGUCUGAAUGUUCCUUGGACCCUUCCCAAUCAGUGUGCCAAAUUUCACAACUUUUUACCAGUCUAUGGACUGCUAUCGACACCCUAGCCAGAAGAAGAAGGUAGAAUAACAACAGUGUGCCUAGGCAGCUUUGGUGCUUGGCCCUCUAAUAUGAAUAACAAUGUCCCUGUGUGACAUCAGAGUGAUGCACAACCUCUCACAGGGAUAAUGAUAGUCCAAGCAGUAGUAGUAGUAGUAGUUGCAGUAGUAGUGGUGGUGGUUGUAGUAGUAGAAGUAGUAGUAGUGAUGGUAGUAGCAGUAGUAGUAGAAGUAGUGGUAAUAGUAGUGGAGACAGUAUUAGUAGUAGUAAUAAUAACAGUAGUAGUAGUAGUAGUGGUAGUAGUAGUAGUGGUAGUAGUGGUGGUCGUAGUAGUGGUAGUGGUAGUGAU